rnacentral:rRNA from 1 species
UGACGAGUGGCGGACGGGUGAGUAAUGCUUGGGAACUUGCCUUUGCGAGGGGGAUAACAGUUGGAAACGACUGCUAAUACCGCAUAAUGUCUUCGGACCAAACGGGGCUUCGGCUCCGGCGCAAAGAGAGGCCCAAGUGAGAUUAGCUAGUUGGUAAGGUAACGGCUUACCAAGGCGACGAUCUCUAGCUGUUCUGAGAGGAAGAUCAGCCACACUGGGACUGAGACACGGCCCAGACUCCUACGGGAGGCAGCAGUGGGGAAUAUUGCACAAUGGGGGAAACCCUGAUGCAGCCAUGCCGCGUGUGUGAAGAAGGCCUUCGGGUUGUAAAGCACUUUCAGUUGUGAGGAAAAGUUAGUAGUUAAUACCUGCUAGCCGUGACGUUAACAACAGAAGAAGCACCGGCUAACUCCGUGCCAGCAGCCGCGGUAAUACGGAGGGUGCGAGCGUUAAUCGGAAUUACUGGGCGUAAAGCGCACGCAGGCGGUUUGUUAAGCUAGAUGUGAAAGCCCCGGGCUCAACCUGGGAUGGUCAUUUAGAACUGGCAGACUAGAGUCUUGGAGAGGGGAGUGGAAUUCCAGGUGUAGCGGUGAAAUGCGUAGAUAUCUGGAGGAACAUCAGUGGCGAAGGCGACUCCCUGGCCAAAGACUGACGCUCAUGUGCGAAAGUGUGGGUAGCGAACAGGAUUAGAUACCCUGGUAGUCCACACCGUAAACGCUGUCUACUAGCUGUGUGUGCCUU